AAUAGAUACCCGGGUAGUCCACGCCGUAAACGAUGAGUGCUAAGUGUUGGAGGGUUUCCGCCCUUCAGUGCUGCAGCUAACGCAUUAAGCACUCCGCCUGGGGAGUACGGUCGCAAGACUGAAACUCAAAGGAAUUGACGGGGGCCCGCACAAGCGGUGGAGCAUGUGGUUUAAUUCGAAGCAACGCGAAGAACCUUACCAGGUCUUGACAUCUCCUGACCGCCCUGGAGACAGGGUCUUCCCUUCGGGGGACAGGAUGACAGGUGGUGCAUGGUUGUCGUCAGCUCGUGUCGUGAGAUGUUGGGUUAAGUCCCGCAACGAGCGCAACCCUUGGUUCUAGUUGCCAGCAUUGAGUUGGGCACUCUAGAGCGACUGCCGGCGACAAGUCGGAGGAAGGUGGGGAUGACGUCAAAUCAUCAUGCCCCUUAUGACCUGGGCUACACACGUGCUACAAUGGAUGGUACAAAGGGCAGCAAAGCGGCGACGCAUGAGCGAAUCCCAGAAAACCAUUACUCAGUUCGG
rnacentral:rRNA from 1 species